UCAACCAAGAGUCGUCAAUCCCUCUCAUAACUACAACAUAAUCCAAGUGAGCUUAACAAAUCCAACAUAAUCCAAGGGAGCCGGGAGGGGUGGCGACGAAGAGGGACCGCGCCGCGCCGCCUACGUGGCCGUGAGAUUCGACAGUGGGAGCGACUGGAACUCUGGGAGAGGGGCGGCGACUCGAAGAGGACUGGAACUACUGCGAAUGGUGGCGGCAAAUCGACUCCAGAAAACUGGCAGCGGCGGCGUGGACUCCUUCAGCAGGCUUGCGAAGACGUCGCCGGUGAGAGGAGCGAUUGGAACUCUGGGAGAGGGGCGGCGACUCGAAGAGGGGCUGCGCCGGGCCGUCGUCGUCGAUGUGGCUGUGAGAGUCGACGUCGAGUCGUCGACGGUGGGAGACUGGGAGUUGGAAGAAUGGAAGGGACGAAGGGUGUGUGCGGGCGGGGCAGUGCGGCGGCUGGGAUGGG
rnacentral:lncRNA from 1 species